rnacentral:rRNA from 1 species
UACGAGGUUCACUCCAAACCCAAUGUGAACGUUACCAAACUGUUGCCUCGGCGGGAACUCAUGCCCCGGGGGCGUCCCACCCCCGGACCAAGGCCCCCGCCGGAGGACCACCCAAACCUCUUUUUGUUUCCCCCCUCGCGGGUUUUUUAUAAUCUGAGCCUUCUCGGCGCCUCUCGUAGGCGUUUCGAAAAUGAAUCAAAACUUUCAACAACGGAUCUCUUGGUUCUGGCAUCGAUGAAGAACGCAGCGAAAUGCGAUAAGUAAUGUGAAUUGCAGAAUUCAGUGAAUCAUCGAAUCUUUGAACGCACAUUGCGCCCGCCAGUAUUCUGGCGGGCAUGCCUGUCCGAGCGUCAUUUCAACCCUCGAACCCCUCCGGGGGGUCGGCGUUGGGGAUCGGCCCUGCCUUGGCGGGGGCCGUCUCCGAAAUACAGUGGCGGUCUCGCCGCAGCCUCUCCUGCGCAGUAGUUUGCACACUCGCAUCGGGAGCGCGGCGCGUCCACAGCCGUUAAACACCCAACUUCUGAAAAGGUGAACCUCGAACCAGGAAGAAUACCCCGCGAAACUUAACAUAACAAUAANCGGAAG